rnacentral:lncRNA from 1 species
UGAUACAAAGGAAUGAAAGUGAAGUACCCCCACUACCACAAAUUAUGCAGUCAGGUUUCCUGCAGACGUCAACACAUCCAGCGUGCAAUGGAUGAGCCUCACCCUGGGAAAGCCACCUUCAUGAUCAUGGUAUUUCCCCCAGUAGAUGAACUCACUUAGAUUGAGUCAAGAACCCACUGAAGACAAUCAUCAGAGCUGAGAAAAUUAACUAAGAAAAAGAUGCACGUGGCUGUAAUUAGAAGAAAAACAGUUUGCCUGCUCUCAUUUGGCUGAGCAUUUUAAAAAACCUUUUCAAUAAUACAAGAGAGAAGAGACUGAAUUGUGAUAGCUGGAACCAUGGAUGAGAGAACAGCACACACCCAUCAGAAAAUGUGCCUGGAGCACCUCCUGGGUGGCAGCCUGUUGCAGCAGCACUCAUGAGUCUGGGCACAUACAUUCUGGGAUAGGUGUCCAGGUAUAUUCUGCUAUCAAUAUUGCUAGAAAGUUACCAAAACACCCUGAGCCUCAAUUUCUUUAUUGGUUAUGUAUGAUCUCAGGAGAUGUGUACAGGUUCAAGUCGACAAGGCAUGGACCUGUGAUGGUCAAUACUGAGUGUCAACUCCAUUGGAUUGAAGGA